rnacentral:lncRNA from 1 species
UGGUAUAUACUUCCACCACAAUGAGUCUCGCUGCACCCCACUUUAUACAUAUACACUAAGCAUACAUAGCUGAAAUAAAUUUAAUACACAGGAAUGUGGUUACAAUAAACAACAAAAGGAUUUGCUUGAUACUGCAAAUAUAUGGCCAGGUCCGUUUCCAUGGUAUUUUAAAUGUUAAUAUGAAAAGUGAACAAAGACUAAAAUUCACUCCAGCAAACACACAAAAAUAAUACAGAAGGAAAGAUUGAAAGCAGCCAUGGUACAACCUCCAAAAAUGAAAACCAUGCAAAUUAGCCUUUGCAAACAUUUAGAAAUAGAGGUUGUUCGAAAUAAUGUCCCAAAAUGAUAUCAAUAACCCAAAUUGUGUGACCUUGCCCACCUAAACUUCAGCAGACCGGACAAAACAUGCCAAUCGUCUUUGCCUUUCAUCAUAUCCCGAUCAUUAGCACAUCCACAUGCGAGCUUGUUAGACGACAUUAUCAUGACGCUGAUGAAGAGCCAUGUAAUUUGCUUAGAAAUGCACAAAGCAAGAGAAAUAUCAGCAUAAAUAAUAAAGAAAAAAGCAUCAAGUUACUAUCUUCAGCUAAGUACUACAAAGCACCACAAGUUAAAAGAGUCAAAUUAUAUGUGUAUUCCCUCUUAAGUUCACAACAAAUGUACCAAAACUGGAAAACAUAGGCAAAAACCAUGUCUCGAUAACGGAUCUUGAAAUAAAGAAAGAAUGGCAAGUCUAAAUUGUAUUGCAUCUGUUAUGUAUCAGGCUAUCAUACAAGAGUGGUGGUUCUGCAAACCAAUUGGUAUUUUUCAGAAGUUGUGUCUCCAUAGGAGAGAAUGUGGCUAUGAUUAUGAAAACACGUAAACAUUCUAGUUUACUGCUUAGGUGUCAUGUAAAAGCAUUCAAAAUGAAAAUGUUGAUUUGCCAACGCAAAGAAAUAUAUAGGAAUACAAGUAGAUCGACCAUGAAAAACUUCAAGUAUUGUGCUAUGAGAAUAGUACUUCUACAUAGAUGAUCUAGUGUCUCCAAUUACAGAACUGCUUAAACCAAACUCAUGAUUAUGAUUUAACAAUGAACAGAACCUUCAAGUGUUGUGCUAUGAGAAUAGCCAGUAGAGAUUUUAGAAACCAUAAAAAUCAGAUCUUUUUGUGUGCGUGCCACAUCAAUCAAGCCGGACAUAUUACAGAGCAGAUGGUGGUUAAGGAGCAUUGCCAAUUUGGCAUCUUAAAAUUCAAAGCAUGGGUAUUAUGUUGCCAGACAGGUGUAUGUAAAGCUUCAGAAAUCAGGUGUGUGUUUUAGAGCAGGGUAUCCAACAUGACUAAUAGAGUAAUCACUAAACACUAAGCUGCCCUAUCUAAGUAAUCAGGGUACCUGGCCAAGCUUAACUUAAGCCACAUGGUUGACGAUGAAAGUAAACUGCACAUAGGUGAAUGCAAGGUGGAGUGUCCUGACCUGGUAACACAAUAAGCAUAUUAUAACAGAUGAUAUGAGCAGGUAUAACUGGGAAUAUUCAGGAGACUAAUUUUUAAAAGAUCAAAUAAUAUUCUUGAUUUAGUAAUAUAAGUAAGGUAUCCGAGUAAACAUAUUAAAUAUGAAUUUUGAUGUCAAUAUUACUGUGACCAUCGUAGCACAUGAGGCACCUGCCUAGUUCUUCUGUGCAUUUCAUCAAACACAUAACAUAGGCAUGGGGGAAUGGAGUGUUGAUUAUUUGUCUAAAGUAUGAUCAGACCAAUGGUGGGAUUAGUACCAUCUAAAGCUAGAAUAUACCAAUCCAAAUGGCGAUUCCGAAGUUCUUAAUGAGAAAACUAAUUAGUUCAUCAUAGAGCAAUACAUGUAGGUUUGGGAACAAUUAGACGCACAGACAGAUUACAGACCAUUUGCAAAACCUGACAAUUAAAUCUCCCCCCUGAAUUUCACAUAGGAGGACAUCGUACUGUCAUCAUUCAAAAUGUUUGUAUCUAUAUUAUUUUGCUCAUCAUGCGUACCAUGCAUAUGUUGUUGUUCAUCCUAUAUUCAAUCACAACAAUGUGCUACCAGGAACUCAAUUAGUGCUGCAGGAAAGUACUAAAUAUUGCGAUAAAAUUACUAAAUAUCACUAAUGGCUGUACCAGCCUAAUUGACAAACCAACCUAGACUAUAUUAGUCAAUAUCUAUCCUUGAAAGUCCUGCAUUCCCCCUCCCUUUGCCCUAACAAACCUCUGUACACUUAGCAGAUAAGUCUAACCUGAAAGUAUAGUAAUCAAAGAGACCAACUUCCAACCGAGAAAUGUGUCCUCCUUUUGCUGCCAGCUCAAAAAGGACUAAUGUGCCUUUACUUUCUAUGGAUCAAGAACACUUCAACAAAUUUCCACAGUCCACAUCAAGUGCAACAAACACCUCGCUAAGAUCCAUGAAUAUGUUAAUAUUUCCUUGCACUUCUAGUCGGCCAGUGCUCAUGACGGAAUACUUGUCAAAUUUGGCAAAAGACACACUACUCUUGCACAUAAACAAAUUUGGGCAAACACGAACUCGAGUUCCGAUCAUACCCAAUAUGAACAGUUUUGAACAAAUUCUGAAAAUAAAAAUAAAUUUGAUCAGAAACAAAUUAUCAAAUUAAUCGGCAUGUUUCCAUCUCUUUAGAUUCAGUCAUAUUCAGUCAAUUUCUCCCGCAGCACAAAUAAUUGGAAGCUGAAUCACACGGGGAAUAGAACAUAAUGGGAAAUUAAUUCACUCAGAGAUGGAGAAAUGGUGGCGCUAGGCGUGCGGUACCUAGAGGCCGUGCUGGUUGAGUCCCUUGACGGCGAUGGCGGCCCUUAGCAUCGAGCAUGCGGACAAAUGUCGUGUAGACCCCGUCGAAGCCGCCCUCGUCGCCCAGAUAUGAAAUGAAAGAGCCUGCAUUCAUUGUCCAAUUAUCCUUUGACCAUCUAUGUCACUGCAUCUGACCUCUACUUGAACUAUUACUAUUGAAAACAAAAAAUACACUGCAUACGUACCAAGAACAGUAAUCCUUGAUUUUCCUUUGCAUAGCAUAAUCAGAUAUUACAAAGGACAACACAAAGCUUACAUAGACAUGAUAACCAACAGAAGUGCAUGCAUAAAUCAGAAACUAUGGAUUAAAGAUUUACCAUCAAUUAGUUGGUCACUAAGAAGGACAUAUAUGGAUGGAUUCACUUAAUAGCAGUCACCAUGUAUAUCACAUUAUCAUCUAAUCAAGAAAAUUGCUUGACAAAUCAGAGAUUUCGAGUAAUGUUUGAACAAUGGCAUAAAAAGAAAUCUGAAUCACAGGUAGGUAAACAUUGCAAGUACUACAACUGACCAUGCAUAUUUAAACUGAUUUCCUUCAUGAGAAUUUCUAGUUCAGUACCCAUGUUUUUCUAAAUUUGGCAUGUGCUUACUAACAUGACAUACCGAGCCAUGAAUCUUAUUACUGAGCUCUGGUCAGCCAAAAAAUUAGAAGCUUUAAACCAAACAUGAGAUUAGUGUAGGCAGAUCAAAUGGUAAGAGGCCAAGAUACAAAUACUUCAAUAGUGUAGUAACCUAUAUGCAUCGUAUAAACCCAAGUCAUGCUUUCUGAAUGUAUAUAUAUAAGAUACAGAGUGGCAACAGAAGAGAUGCCAUAAUAGCAUCAGUUUCUUUUUGUAAAGAACAAUGGAUUUACACAUGCUAGUAAUUAACUUGGAGGAUCAUGUACUACACUGGCAAAAAUCUAAUGAUCCAACAUCACACUAACAUAUGUCAAUCACAAUAAAAAGUAUAAAGUUUUCUCAUAAAACAUGACUCUUGCCUAAUACCUGCAAAGCACAAUCUGGAUGGAACUAACAAAACCAAUCAAGCACAUAACCGUAGCAGCCCCUAACUCCCAGUGAAUGUUUAUUGACCAAUUCUCAAUUGCAUUCUGCAAAAGACAAACAAUAAUAUCAGUUUACAACCUGCUUGGAUUUUCAUCGAAUAUUUCUCAGUUCCUAAUUCAGAAAUGAUGUGACUGGAAUUUCCAAGUCAAUGAAGCCUAAUAAUUCAUUAAUAGGAUCAUUUCAUCUCAACAACUCAUAUUAAGUGAGUGUUAAUAUUUCAGCAGCCUGGUCAUCUAUUCACCUAAACAGAGGUAGACAAAGUUAGAACCAUAGUGGGGUUGCAACAUCCAACCAAACCCUGCAGAACAGUGAAAAUAAAACAAUUAGGCGAGUAGAUAAAAGUGUUAUUUAUUAGAUCCAGCAUAUACAAGAAAACAUCCAGAGGCAAUCAAAUUAUAUUCUGAUCAUGAUCAAAGGUGCAACACAUGCCAGUAGACAGUGUUGAUGCAAUAGACAGUGAAAUUUCCAUGAAGCUGGGAGGAGAUGUUUAAAAAUGUUGUGUGUCGUUUAAACACUACCAACUUAGAGAACUGAACCUCAGCAAGAACAUGAUCCUCUCUCAGUCUCUUCCUUUUAGAACCAAAUCAAGAUAAAUCCACUACAAACAAAUUUUCUUACAGGGCAACAGAGUUUCACCUUCUAGUAUGCAGAACAAUCCUAUCACUCAGCCAGUAUUAGGUCAGCCAUGGCCACAUUUUAUCCGGUGGGGAAUUAACUUGGGAUUCAUCUAUUAGAAAUCAUAUGCAGACCAAUGAAAAUCAAUUAAAUCGUAGGAACCACAGAUCACAAAUUCUCUUGGACUGAACAAUUAGCAGACACAUCAAAACAUGUCAUGCAAUUUUGGAAGCAAGGUCUAAGAAAGAAAUUGACCAAACCGUACAUGGAUAUGGUGUGGUUUGUCAUCUAGUGGGGCCUCGGUUAGUGGACUCCCCCAAUGGUGGCCACACUGGUCAAACCUCAACAUCUACACAACAUUAAGUGCAAAGGAUUAAUUAAUCAUGUUGAAGACAACAUUUGAUGUAGGGUAUACAAUUUUGAUUCUCAAGAUAAUUACUCCACCACACCAAACUUAUAAAUUUCCAUUUCCAUAGAGAAGUAGAAUUGCUUGAAAAGCUAUGUGCAUGUUUUCCAACAACCAAUCACACCAUAUCUCUGUAACUUCCAAUCAACAAAGCAUGACUAAAACAUCCCAGAUUGUGCAAGCACACUAUAUCUCUGUAACUUCAGAUAGUUGCUGCAACAUGUCAAGCAAAAAAUGCAGAGGUAGGUGGGGUGCGGAUUCAUCUUGCUGUUGUAGGUAGGCAUUCCCUCUGGAGGCAGUAGCAGCGGACUCAGGAGCAUGGCACUGGGGAUUUGGUUCUCCAGUCACCAUCGAUUGGUCUCCUCUUACUAAUUCUUCCUCUCUUCAUCCCAUCUUCCGGCAAAAGGAGAGUGCCUUCCAUUGGCUGGCUGCGGUCAAGGUAACAGUGACAUAAGGAAAACGUGGGGAUGGAAGAGACCGAGAGGAAGAGCACCUGACAAGGCAGGGCCGCGAAUCAGAGAGGAUGCAGCACGAGCAUGCUGAAUCGACAGUGGCGUCGAGAAAAGUGCAGCCCAGCCACCGAGAGAGGACGCGGGAGGAGGACGGGUGCUGCGGUGGUGUACAGGAGGAGCGGCGGUGUGACAGGACGACGGCUCCUCGGUGGACGAGAGCCGGAUGCGCCGGUCGCCAGCCGACGGCGCGAGAGGAGGGACUAUCUGAUAACAUGUUUGUUUGUUUUUUGUCUUGCAAGCGACUAUCUAAAAAGUUCACCAUCCUUGGUUCAAAAGAAAUAAAAAUGUAUUUUCACUUUUAAGCACAUUUUUGUCUCUGGUAGGUUUAUUUCUCGUAUGUAGGGCCAUCGUCUCAUUAAGUAUGAGGACUUUCAGGAAACUGCCUGUCGAUGAAAGCAUACAGGUGGAAUGGCUCUGUUUAAUGCAGAUCAUCCAAGCUCCUAUGAAGAUGUAUGUUUUAUGUGAGCCUUUCUUUAUCUCAUUCUUUCUUUUGGCCAUGACAAAAAAAAAUCAAGUGUAUGUGGUGUCAUGCGAUUUUUUUUAACUUCAAAAGUUUUCUUCCGAAUAUUUGUUCUUCCUAUUCUCAGGUACAUGUAUGGUGGUAAAUCUGUUCAAAAGUAGUUCCUACAAAGUUUGAAAAUCCCAAGCCUUUUACAAAGCAAGUUGAUAACUUCUGGCUAACCUUGAUAGAUGGACACAUCUUCUUGUUAUUGAAGGACGCAUUCCCAGGCAAACCUUGGUCGAGAAUCUAAUCGGUGUCCAUUUUUGGAGCAAAGAUAAGCAGGGGUGAGGGCGCUAUAUACUGCCAAUUUUUGGAGCAAAGAUAAGCCAAAACUAAACAUCCAAAACAUUUGAACCUGAGAUGCGAUAGUACCCAAUCCAAUAGCUGUCACAAUAACCCAGAGAUCCCCAUUCCGUAUAUACUGCCCUUCCCUUCCUAUAACUAUCAUCAGACCACCAAAUCGAACAGCUGCCACAAUAACCAAGAGAUCCCCACUCCGUAUAUUUCACUAAUAUACAAACCAUUCGCUAAAUCCAAAUUGACCAUUUCUAAAGCAAAGUUAAGCUGAAACUAAAAGCAUCAGACCACCAAAACACCCCAAAUUCCAUAACCUGAGAUCCCAUGGCACCCAGUCUAACAAAGAACCAUCUCAUGAACAUAAUUAAGUAGUGUGUAUAUGAACCUAAACAAUAGGACAUAGCUGAACAACAUCACGAGUAGCAGAUGCAUGCGGAUCCAACUCUGUGAAAUAGUAAACAAAAGGCCCAGAAAAAUCACCUCCAGAGGAGGUCUCCGAGGAGCAUCAAGUCGCCAUCCUUGUCUCCGUUCCUCUCAUCAUCUCCACCAGACUCGUCUCCUCGUUCCGACACUUGCCUGCAUCCGAGAGUCAAAUCGUCA